rnacentral:rRNA from 1 species
UACGUAGGGUGCAAGCGUUAAUCGGAAUUACUGGGCGUAAAGCGUGCGCAGGCGGUUUUGUAAGACAGUUGUGAAAUCCCCGGGCUCAACCUGGGAACUGCAUCUGUGACUGCAAAGCUGGAGUACGGGAGAGGGGGAUGGAAUUCCGCGUGUAGCAGUGAAAUGCGUAGAUAUGCGGAGGAACACCGAUGGCGAAGGCAAUCCCCUGGGCCUGUACUGACGCUCAUGCACGAAAGCGUGGGGAGCAAACAGG